rnacentral:lncRNA from 1 species
CAUCCGGUGAGCUUACCUUCGGGGAUGCUGGUAUGGUCUUGGAGAGCGAGUCAGCGACGGCGGUGGCGCUGCAGAGGGAGGCGUGGAGGGCGAGGAACUGCUCAACGGCUGACUGCGGCCUCUCCUCCUUGGCGCAGGUACUUAGCUCUGCAUACAUACUGCAAGUGAAGCAAUGAAGUGAUCUAUUGCAUUAUGAUUCAGGUUUGUCAAUAGUUAGAAGAAACAGUUAAUAGAAAAUCUAACUAGCAUCAACUUCCAGGGGAUGAAAAUUUCGUCUCUGAUUUAAAAUAUAGGUAGAGAUUGUUUUCAUAAUUCGAACCUGGUCACCAUAAGGAGCCUCAUUCUUAGAAACUUCAUAUCAUACCGAAGAGAAAUAAAUAUAUGAUGCAAAGGAUUCACAUUUCAAGAACAAGAAAUCAGUUGGCUGUUAGAUGAACACUUUGCGCUUAGACCAAUCCUUUUGGGUGCCUUCAUUCUUAGAGACUGGAGUAGGAGAAUCUAAAAUUCAUUUGCAAUUUCAAAAUUUUGAAGAGGAGUAAAACUUUUAGUACCAAAACUAUUGCCUCAACAACAAGGAUGAUAUUAGAGGGAAAACUUCGGCCUAGUAAAGCACUCAGAUUUCCUUUUCUGCCUAGCAACAUUUGACACUCUUGCACCAGUGUUUCAUGAACAAAACAGUAAAUGAUUGAUUUGAUUGUUUGCACUUUGCCACCGGAUACAAAUAGUGUUCACAGUCAUCAUAAUGACUUCCAGAACUGAACUAGCACUAGACAUAGCAAUCACAGGGGGGGAGGAAAAAAACGAAAAAAGUAAAGUCCAAAGGUCCUCAUUAAUUGUGAGUGCAGCAAGCAAAUUUGUUUUUUUUCAAAGAUGUUAGACUAGAAAAAACUAAGAACUUAAUGAGAAAAUUUACAUCAUUAAGAAUCAGCUAACUAACAUUUUCCAACAUUUGCCUGAGAAAUUAAGCUAAAAAGCUGAUGAAGCUGUUAAAAUUUUCAAAUUGGUAAUACUCAAAAAGUAUAAUUUCUCAUAGAUAAAGCUAACGAAUAAAAAAUGGUCAUCAUGUGAUAAAUUCAUAAAUAAUGGUUUAGAAGUACAAUGCAAAAACUUUCUAUCACAAGAUGUUCAUGUUAGAUACUAAGAUAUCUCAAGCUACGCUAAAAUAUAGAUCACAGCGUCCAAGUAGAUAAAACUAGAUCUUUGUGAAGAGAAGAAAAUGGAACAUGAAAGAUACUUUAACAUGCGAGAUCUCAAUUCCAUGGAUGGUUUCAUCAGUUAAAAAAAGCAUAGAACAGCUAAUUUUGUGAAGAUAAUUACCUUAAGCACCGAAUUAAGCUCUCCGAAGCAGAAGCUUCUUGUAUAGCCUCAACAGCAGCAAGUUGUGCUGCAUCCUUAUACUUCAAAAGCUCCUAAAUUUUAUAAAUAUUCAGUUAGUAUAAAUUAUAGCCAAACAGCAUGACUAGGAUAUUUUUAAUAAAAAAAUAAAAAUUCUUCAUCGAGACCAAGUCGUGCACAAAGAGUGGUUCAUGUGUUGGCCUAGAGUUGGUGCAAUUUAUGCCUAGGUAGCACCUAAUAAUUUUAUAUAAUGAUUAGGAUAAUAAUAUGGUAUGUUUCGAAAACACAAAUAAAGUAGGGAACAAUUGCAAACAUCUUAUAAUAGUGGCAAAAUUUUGUCAUAUUACAUAGUAUUAUUAGUCAUACCUUUCCUAGUUUUACUAGAGAUGAUGGAAGUGAUGCCCAUGAUAUGCUGCCGUCUGUCCAUUUUCUGUUAGUAGGAACAACUUUGACUAAAUUAGCAAGAUUUAGACUGUUACAAGACUUUGGCGACUUCUUUACAACAGAAGUCUUAUGUUUAGCUGAUUUCUCAGAAUCAUCUUCAGCAGCACUUGUGAUGUCUUUGUUAACAGGACUUUGAAUCUUGCAAUCCUCCUUAAGUAGCAGUUUCUCAUUCAUUGAUGACCUCUGUCGAGGAGCCUGCAAGUUAACAAUACAUGCUAAGGGG